rnacentral:rRNA from 1 species
CAGUAGCCGCGGUAAUACGAACCGUGCGAACGUUAUUCGGAAUCACUGGGCUUAAAGCGCGUGUAGGUGGGUGGGUACGUCCGUCGUUGAAAGCCCCCGGCUCAACCGGGGAACUGGCGCGGAUACGGCCUACCUGGAGGGACGUAGGGGGACCUGGAACUUCCGGUGGAGCGGUGAAAUGCGUUGAGAUCGGAAGGAACGCCCGUGGCGAAAGCGAGGUCCUGGACGUUUUCUGACACUGAGACGCGAAAGCCAGGGGAGCGAACGGGAUUAGAUACCCCGGUAGUCCCUGUCUCUUAUA